GAGUGCAUGAAGCUGGAAUCGCUAGUAAUCGCAAAUCAGAAUGUUGCGGUGAAUACGUUCCCGGGUCUUGUACACACCGCCCGUCACACCAUGGGAGUCGGAAAUGCCCGAAGUCUGUGACCCAACGAAAGAGGGAGCAGCCGAAGGCAGGUCUGAUAACUGGGGUGAAGUCGUAACAAGGUACC
rnacentral:rRNA from 1 species